UCCCCCGUUUUCAAAAACAUGUUUUUUAGGGUUUUUUAAAGGUUUUACCUGCUUUAUGAUAAUUUUAAAAGGCCCCGGUAUUUUAAAUGGGGUAAGGGAGCAUAAAAAUUUGUUUUUUAAUUAGGGUUUUGAAAGAAAGGUUGGGCGGGAAAAAAAAUUUUUUAAGAUUAAUUUUUUUUAAUUUAAAAUUUUUGUUAAAAAACUUAAAAAUUUAAGGGGGGCGGUAAGACCCCGUAGAUUUUUUUAAUUAAAUAAGAAGAAUUUUUUGGGUGGGUUUUUUUUUUUUUUAGUUUAUUGUUUUGUUGGGGUGAUAAAUAAAUUUUUUUGACUUUUUUUUUUGUAAACAUUAUUUUUUGGUUUUUUGAUCCUUUAUUUUGAUUAAAAGAAAAAGAUACCUCAGGGAUAACAGCGUUAUAUAUUUGGAAAGUUCUUAUUGAUAAAUGUGUUUGCGACCUCGAUGUUGAAUUAAAUUUUAAUUGUGGAGCAGGAUAUACAAUGAUAGGUCUU
rnacentral:rRNA from 1 species